AGGAGGUCGGGGAAGGGACAGAAAAGGUAAGACGUGGUACAAGGGUCAGACGGGGUGAGGUGGCUGUGCCAGGGACUGGAACCAGUGAGCUGGAACUGCAGAAGGAAGGGAGAAAGAGGCAGAGCUGUGGGGAGCAACUCAUGGAACUGCAACAUACAAAAGCUGAUCAGAAGAAGUAGGAAGAGGAAACCAUGAAGUAAAAAUUCUCUGCAGAAAAAAAAGGGACACCUGAGACAUGCUGGUCACAAAACCACUGAAGACUGAUGCUUUUGACUCAAACUCUUAACGCCACUUAACAUUUAGAUGCUGAGGAUGGCUGUGGAUCAAAGAGGUGCUGAAUUCACAGCUGCUAAAAGAGAAAUUGCUGUGCCUGUGAGCAGAGAGAUGAAAGCUGAUCUGUUAACAGGUGCCAGCAAGAGAUCUGCUGUGGUGCUCCUAGAAUGAUAAAUUGAUAAAAGUCCUAAUAGGAGAAACUCAACAGGAGAACAACAAAAUGAAUUAACUCGCCAAGACAUGGCUAACAUCAUCAUAUCUCAGAUGGCUCCUGAAGAAUCAAACGUUCUCAUAAAAAAGUGCUGCUUGUUAGCUGGAGCUUCGAUGUAGACCAUUUUUUGAUUUGAAUAAAAUCACAUUUAGGAAUUGUUUGUCUCAUUAUGACUGAAAUGUGGAUAUUCAUCCUAAGAAGAGACAUGACAGAAGUAAGACGUGUUUGGAUUGAGAAAUACAGCCCUCUAAUGAGAUGGAAAGGUGUGCUCCACUUUACGUGCCUGUUUGCCUGAGAAAUCUCAGAAAUAAUUUUGGCACAGACACUCAGAAAUUCACAUACUAUAUGGGAUACAUACAUAUGUACAUGCAAUUCCUACACUUGUUCUCCUUUUUGAAAGGGCUGAAGAUUAAUCUUGAGGAAAUCCUUGACUAAUUGGGAAAACUUCCAAAAUAUCUUGCAAGGGGUAGAAUUUCCACGUAGUUCUUUUCAGAGAGCUGUGAUUGUGCAGGGAGUUGUCUGUACAAUCAUCUGAGAGUAUUUCUGCCGUGAAUUCCCAGUGGACUGUGGGGAUGGAAAGUGCUCUAUUGUGGACUGGGAAUCCUGCCAGCAUCCCUGGUUUAGAGUGCUGGCUUCUCCAAAGAGCUGUGGCAGAUGAAACAAUCAGCCAGGAUUUCCAAUCCACUGAACCACAGAACACAGGAGGGCCCCACUCAUGUGGCAUGAGGAGGGCUUGAAGUUCAGGCAAUUGUUUUGUCUUAGCAGCAAGUUACAAACUUUUGUCAAUAGUAGUAGAAUCUACCUGGGGUGAUAUUCUGCUUCACGGCGUCUGGAGUUUAAAUUAAAUAUACCACUAAAGUCAGAA